rnacentral:tRNA from 1 species
ACUUAAAUAGUUUAUACAAAAUAUUAAUUUGUGGGAUUAAAGAAGUAAGAUUUACUUUAGGUA